AAAUUGGAAAAGAAAUUCACCCACGGUCAGUGGUGUGAAGUAACUAAGUAAAAAUAUAUUUGAAGUACUACUUAAGUAUUUGGGGGGUGUAUCUGGGCCCGGUUGCAUAAAACACCUUAAGUUAAUUUUCCCCUUAUCUUUUCCCUUAAAGUUUCCUUAACAUUAAGUCAGUUGCACAAAACAUUUAAAGGUGAAUUUCCCCCUUAAAUUAAGUGAAAAGGUUAAGGGUGCCCAUUAGGUCCCUUAACUGCUUAAUUCAGUAUGGAUAUCAAUGUAAACAUCAUUUGUGGAGGUGAAUGUUGCUUUCAUUUACUUUGGUUACAAAAGGAAACAUCAACCAGCUAGCUAGCUACUUAGCUAACCAAUGGAAGGUGCACAAUCUAUGGCUACAAAGCUAGCUGGCUAGUUAGCUAUAGCUACUCUGUAAGCUAGCUAAAGUAACCACAAGAAAUGUGGUUUAGUAUCUUCUGAAGCAAUUUGGUUAAAACUAUCCUCUGCAACGCCCUUAAACAACUGCCUUAGGUAAGGGAAAAUUAUUCCUUAAGGGAAACACUUAAGAUGUUUUAUGCAACCAGACCCUGUACUUUACCAUUUAUAUUUCUGACUACUUUUACUCCACUACAUUCCUAAAGAUAAGAUGUACUUUUUACUCCCAUACAAUUUCUCUGUCACCCAAAUGUAUUAGUUACAUUUCCAAUGCUUAGCAGGACAGAAAUUGUCCAAUUCACGUACUUAUCAAGAUAACACAUGGUCAUCCCUACUUCCUCUGAUCUGGUGGACUCCCUAAACACAAAUGCUUGUGUUGGAGUAUACCCCUCGCUAUCCAUAAAAUAAAAAAAACAUGUGCCAUCUGGUUUGCUUAAUGGUUUGCUUAAUAUAAAUAAUUUUAAAGGAUUUAUAGCUUUUACUUUUGCUACUUAUUUAUAUUUAAAACCAGACACUUUUAGACUUAUACCAGUGUUUCCUCUGCGUUCAUUUAAGUGUGGCGCUGCGCCAUGGAAGAAUCAUUGCAACCACACCAAAAGAAACAUCCUAUUUCUACCAAACAUAGUUUCAAUAAAGUUCUGUAAAGUACAUUAGCUUUUCUUGGUAAAUAGAUCAUCUGUCUGGGUUCAACACAGUUCAAGGUUAUUUAGCUCUGUGAGUUGUGGCAGGCAGCCUGCAACUCAAGAAACACAGUGCGCCAAUGACCAGUGCACAAGUGACCAGUGCUCGAUAGACUCUCUGCGGCACAAAACACAAUUCACUUGAAUCACCUCAGAGUGAACCUGCGUGAGAAACGGCACGCCAGGGACCAGUGCGCGAGUGACCAGUGCGCAAUACAGAAGCUCUGCAGCGCGAAACACAAUUCACUUGAAUAACCUCAGAGUGCACCUGUGUGAGAAACUGCAAGAAAGGUACGUUAGCUUGUUUGUUUGACUAACAUUAGCUAGCCAACUAGUUAACUACAUAAGCUAGCUAUAACCUAAAAACUACUAACAUAAUUUAUAUCUAUUAUAUUGCUGCCACAAUUGUAACGGCAAUUAGCUAUCCAAUAUCCACAAGUAUGUUGAUGAUGGAAACAUGGUUAACUAAAGUUACUGAGGUAGGGAUGCAUGAGGGACAGAAUGGAGCAGAGGAGAGGAGAGAGCCAGGAGGGGAGAUGGAAGGAGAAAAGGAGAGAAGGAGAAGAAAGAGGAGUAGAUAAAAGGAGAGGAGGAGGAGAGAGGAGUAAGACCAAGUGCGCACCACCGGCAAUCCGGAUGGGACCUAAAGUGGCUUAAAAUUGACAGACUGAAACCAUGGCUAUAUAAUACGCCACAUGUUUAGUCAAAUUUCCUUAAUUAGGCUAAGGGCUAAAAAUGUUUGUGUAUAUUUAGUCUGUACUAGUCUACAGCAUUGUGUAGUGUUGUAAUGCUUGCUAUCUGUAAUAGGUAUUGCCCCAGCCACCAGUAAUUCCACUAAACAACACUCUACAUCCCGUCUAGGAAUGUUCUGCCGCCUGUGCCGUUAACAUAGGCAGGCUGCUAAGAGGGGUGUGUCAAAGCGGCCUUUUAUUGAAAUAGGGGCCCAGACUCAUCGGCUGGACUAUAUUAACCGGCACCCAGGGACAGAGCAACACAUGGAAAGUGUGAGGGUUCAUGCAAUGCUGGCAAAGGGCUCCUCAGUCAUGGUUGCAUUCGAGCCAGCCGCAGUGCUUGAGCACGAGGCCGCCAUUGGGGUUUUUAAAUGUCUGUACCAUCUAACAAAACGGGAGCAGGCCCACCACACAAACUUCCCAGAACUGCUGGACCUUGCUGAAUUGCUGGGUUGUUACAAAGCUCAAGAUACAUGGACCAAGAGGGACACCUUUUACAACCAGUUCCUGGACCUAGUGUCAGUCCUAGAUGGCAAGGGACAUCAUCGUUGCCGCCAUCAAGGAGGUGCUGCACAUCAAAAAGAGAUAAUAAGAGAGAUUGUACGGCCUGGGCACUGAUGGGGCUGUAGUGAUGACUGGACAACAUAGUGGUGUGGCAAAAGAGCUAAAGGAUGCCUUCCUAUGGAUGGUGUCUGUGGCAUGUGCAGCCCACCACCUUGCUCUGACCUGUAAAGAUGCAUCAGCUGAGGUCCCCUAUAUGGACACUUUCAAGGAGCUCCAUAGUUACUUUGCCAAAAGCAGUAACAAGACAGAAGUCUUGAAAGCUGCUUCAGCGACCCUGGGCCUUCUGUACUUAAAAGUGAAGGAAGUAAAGGAUGUUCGCUGGCUUUCCCAGCACCUGGCCGUGGCUAAUCUUCAGCGAAACCUGAGCGCAGUGUUGACUGAGGAGGUGGAGGUGAACCGGUGCCCAACUGCUAAGGGCCUCUACGCUUUCUGUGUCACGUACAGGUCCCUGUGACAAUGGCCUCACUCCUCGCCAUAAAAGAUUCUGGUGAUUCCCAGCCCCCGGGGUCAUUUCUGAGCCAACUCCACCAGGACCUCAAUGACCCAAUGGGUCUGGGCGCAUUCAACAUCAAGGAGAGGGAGAGGCCAGGUGGAGAAGACCAAGACCAGGGAGCAGUUCUGGGCUCAGUUCAGAGGAGGUCAUGGAUCCAUAUCUUGUUGGCCUCCAAGACAGCCUAGACCGGAGGUUCCAAUACCUGGAGAUUCUGGGGGCCUUCAGUGUGUUGGGACCUCAGGCUGCGUUCUCUAGUGAGAGGAUGAACACCUUUAACCUGACCAUCCUCUCCAGGCAGUUCUUGCAAGCGCCAGAGGCUGCUGUGCCGCAAGAGUGACCCUCUUACAAGCAACAUGUGCUAGUUGGAGUAUUCAAGUUUUUCAUGUAUUUCAGGGGUUGGACCAGCUGACGACAAUGACAAAGCUGGCCUCGCUGUUUGAUGAGUGGGGGCAGCUCUACCCCUGCCUUAGCCAGCAAUCGCACUGACUAUACCAGUGUCUUCCGUUAAUUGUGAGAGGGCCUUCUCUGCAAUGAAACGAGUAAAAACAGACUUGAGGAACAGACUGCAGGGAGAGCAUCUAGCCGCCUGCAUGCUGCUCUCCAUCAACGGCCCCCCCCAUCAAGGAGCUCAAUUGCAGGAGCAUGUUGGAAAUCUUUUUCCAAAAGCCCAGAAGAAUAAAGUGUUCUGACAAAGGCUGUAAACUAUGUCAGAACUAGGUUUUUGUCAGAACCUGGAAAGAGAUUUCCAACGCCCUCCUUUUGUGAUGAACAUGAAUUAGUGGGCUCUAAUUAAUGUUCAGUCAAAUGUUCCUCUGUUAAUUUUGUCAAGAUAGACCUCCUUUCUGAAAAAAAAAAAAAGUAUGUGUUGUUUCUUUAGAUAGCUGCAGCACUCAACCUUAAAUUGCAUCCUGUAUACUAUAAUACUUUUACCAAUAUGUUAUUGAGCUCAUUUCUGGGGGUGGAAAUUAUAUUCUAGAUGGUUUAUUUGAGUCCUUUUAAAAAGUCACCAGAACCAAGCUUUUCAGUACUUAUUCAUAUUUUGUAUUAAACCCCCCCACCCCCGCUAACUUUUCCCCCACAGCUAACACAUUUUCCAGAGGAAACACUGCUUUUACUCAAGUAAUAUUUUACUGGGUGACUUUCCCUUUUACUUGAGUCAUUUUCUAUUGAUGUAUCUUUACUUACUUACUUUUCCACCACUGCCCACGGUAUCAACACCCUCACCUGUCCCACAGUAUCAAAUGUCACAGCGAACAUGAGCCUAGAUUUUUUUGCACUAGAAAAAAACAUGGCAGUUCAGCAUGUCAAUCUGAGGAACUUGUCACCUCUCGUAAAAUGUCCUUAACCAUCGUUUCCAACUUGUAUUAAAAUAACCCAUGAUUUAUUUCUACCACCACAGUAGACAGACAUAACAUCAGCGUAAAUAGUUUGCAAUAAAACUAGCCUAGCAUGCUAACCCCGGUCAGGCAGGGGACGGUUCACCCAGAGAGAUGAGUCCUGUACAGUACUGGCUGCUUCUCCUCUUUCAUUCCCCCCUAAACUUAGUAGGACCGUAGGCUUCCAGGAAUCCCUGUCGCCCAGAUAUCAGUCUGCCUGCCUGCCUGCAGGGCCACUGGGCGGGGGUCCAAGCCUGGAGUCGACGGGUCCACAGACCACAGGGGAUUACCAUCUGUUAAUACUCUAUCUCCCCUGGCUAGACUGGAGUUAUAGGCACAGUAAAGUGCUCCAGAAGAUGGAAACAUUAUGACCCAUAUUUCAAAUAGAAACCACAGUGAAACCGGGCUAGGAUGUUUAUUUCGAAUGCAAUAUAGGUAAUAUUCUCCGAAGCAGGAAUUAUAUGACCAGUUGCAUAGUAAAGUGGUCCUCAGUAUGACAUGAUUAAGACCCAUUUGUUGAAUGGGUAAACAGUUGGCCUUGUUUCAAAAACAAUUUAACCUAUGUCUAUCAGGCAAUACAGUGCAUUCGGAAACUAUUCAGCCCCCUUGACUUUUUCC